AAAAUUUAAACCCAUUUUUUCUUGCUAUCAUUGCUCCCUCUCUCUCUCUCUCUAUCUCUCUCAAAAUUCUAGAUCUGAUUUCUCUCUAGGUUCAAAUCCUCCCUUCUUUUUUAGGUUUUUUAAUGAUGCUAAGAUUAUAGUAAAGAGAUGGAAAAUCUGGUGGGAUUUAUCGGCCGUCGAUUUGAGCUUUAGCUUCGAUCGUCGAUUUGUCUCCAGGUAAUAUUCAUUGUAUAGGCUUCAAUCCCUCUGUCUUUGACGGCGAUGAUACAUCAGUUCUUAGGGUUGAAAGAUGGGGUUUUCAGGGAUGUUGCAUUCAUGGUGUUUGAUGUAAGUCCUCAACCAAACAACCUAAUCAUUUGUCAUUGGGUUCAGUUAAUUAAUUCAUUCUAACGGUAAUUUUAUCGCGUUUAUGUUUA